rnacentral:lncRNA from 1 species
AUUUUCAAAAACCUAAAAAAGGGCACUCAAAUCAGCUACUGUUCGAUUGAUAGCUGAUCAAUUUCUUUUCUGAUUUUUGACCUAACUUAGUAUAAAUUUUUCUUUUGAAAUUUCUGGGUUCUUGAGUUGCAAGAUGGUUUGAGUUUGAAUGUUGUUAUACUGUUGUUUGUUGUUGCUGGUUCCAUUGGUUUCCUGCACUGUUUAUGCUGUUCUUCUAGCUGCUAUUUGCUUUGCUAGCUCUGGCUUUCCUACCUUGGUUAUUUGACCUUUAUUUGGUCUUUUAUCAGCUAGUUUUCUGCACUUAGGUAUGUUUUUUUACAUUCUGUAACCACCUAUUUGGAAUAGCUAAAUGUAAAUUUGGUGUUUUAAAUGCCUUAUCCUAUUUUCAGUUCGUUUUUUUGUUUUUAAUGUCUAUGAUUCCUUUAGAUGUGUUGAUGUUUUCUUUAAUAGAAUGCUUGAACAUUUUCACUUAGCCUAGUUCUUAUGUGAAUGAAUGCAAAAAAUCAGUUUUAAGUGCAGUAAGUAGUGUGUGCUUACUGAUUUAAUAAGGUCCAAAAGGCUAACUUGGUUGGUUUGAUAACAAGUUGUUCAAAUCCAUCCAACGAGCAGACUAAAUCAAUGAAGCUGGUUCAUGUUGAUUUUGAAGCUGUAUUGCAAGAAGGCAGUAUAACAAAUGUAUAUGUUUUCUCUUUAAAUUUUUAGCCAGAGUUGUAAAGUUAUUUUAAUGCUUAUAAAGUUCUUUAUGUAAUAGACCCGUUUGAGUUUUUUAAAGCAUCCGUUUCCUCCUAUUAAAUGUAUUAAGGCCUGGUUUUUUGUAAUAUCGAAUUGAAUGGAGAUUUCAUUUGUAAAAAAGGGGUCUGUUAAGUGCUUUGCAUUUCAUGUAAUGUAUAUAUUGGGCCAGGUAAACACUCAGGCCAAUAUCUGUGGGGUUCAAUUAUAUUAAUCCUUUGAGUUGCGAUGGUAGAACUCAUGUAGCAGGAAGUGUUGGGCCCAGGCUUUCAUGGGCUUAGGCUAUUGGUCCGGGGCCUUAAGCCCAAUAGUUUAGCUCAGUUAUAAAGUUCCUCCUAUGAAUUAUAGUUUAAAUGCAUGCCUUUCAUAUUUUUGCAAAUCAUAGUAGUGUAAUUAAUCUUCAAGUUUGAAUUGCAUCUUGAUGUUUUGG